rnacentral:rRNA from 1 species
UACGGGGGGGGGCAAGCGUUUGUUCGGAAUUACUGGGCGUAAAGGGCUCGUAGGUGGCCAACUAAGUCAGACGUGAAAUCCCUCAGCUUAACUGGGGAACUGCGUCUGAUACUGGAUGGCUUGAGUCCGGAAGAGGAGAGUGGAAUUCCUGGUGUAGCGGUGAAAUGCGUAGAUAUCAAGAGGAAUACCGGUGGCGAAGGCGGCAUCCUGGACCGGCAUUGACGCUGAGGAGCGAAAGCUAGGGGAGCAAACGGG